UUUCGCCGAUCCGAGCAGCAGCGGACGGGUCCGCCCCUGCCCGUAGGUGGCCAGCAGUGCCUGCACCUC
rnacentral:antisense_RNA from 1 species